rnacentral:rRNA from 1 species
AGUGAACGCUGGCGGCGUGCUUAACACAUGCAAGUCGAACGAGAACGGAUUAUAGCUUGCUAUAAUUGUCAGCUAAGUGGCGCACGGGUGAGUAAUGUAUAGGUAAUAUGCCUCUUACUAAGGGAUAACAAAUGGAAACGUUUGCUAAUACCUUAUACUCCUUAUUAACAGAAGUUAAUAAGGGAAAGAUUUAUUGGUAAGAGAUUAGCCUGUAUUGUAUCAGUUAGUUGGUGGGGUAAUGGCUUACCAAGACUAUGACACAUAACUGGUUUGAGAGGAUGAGCAGUCACACUGGAACUGAGACACGGUCCAGACUCCUACGUGAGGCAGCAGUGGGGGAUAUUGCACAAUGGACGAAAGUCUGAUGCAGCAACGCCGCGUGGAGGAUGACACAUUUCGGUGCGUAAACUCCUUUUAUAUGAGAAGAUAAUGACGGUAUUAUAUGAAUAAGCACCGGCUAACUCCGUGCCAGCAGCCGCAGUAA